UGAACUACUGAACUGCUCUUCAAAUCUCAUAGCUUUAUCUUGUAAAGCAAAUGAUUAGAUCUUGGGCCUGAAACAUUCUCAACCUCUUUUUCUCAAACUUUAAAUGGGUGAGAAGCCCAGUCCACUGGCUUGGAGGCAGUUUUGGAAUGGAAGCAGGCAAAUGGGUCACUUUUUAGAAGUAAAAUUGGUGCUGUAGGAGGAACUG
rfam:Oreochromis niloticus linkage group LG15, whole genome shotgun sequence.